ACUCCAAAAGAGAGAAUUGGAGAGGACGCAGGCAGGGAUUGCCCCUGUGCCUGUCAGACCUGGAAGGGCUUUAUCAAACUCUUAACCCUGGGUCAGAAAAAAAGCAAUUCAGGAAAAGCAAGCUUGUGUUUUAACUUAGAACUAGAUUUAACUUCCCUCUCUCCCAGGAGGAAAACCCACCCCUGCACGGAGGGUGUGUUGCCGCCCAGGCAGCUUGGCCGCCUUUCUGAAACCCGAGGGAAGGAACGAGCGUGCAUCACUGUGUCGGCACAGCAGGGCCACGCGUCCUGCGUUACAACGUGGAAGAGGUUACUACAGGCAGAAUGAAGAUAUCUGCUGGGAGCAACGAGGCUUUGUGAAAAACUGCGACCAUGAGAUACGCAGCUCCUCUUCUCGGAUGGGUUGCUUGGUAAUUUGCUGGGUGCCUGUGUACAGCCUCAGGUGGCACCACCGAAAGCCUCAUCGAGAGCAAUGGUGACACAAACCAACAAAAAACGGGCCUUCUGCAACACACCCAGAGGAAGGCGUCCCCAGCUCAGACAACAGCUUUGCCCUUGGUGGACAGGGAAAAGGAUGCUUUGAG